rnacentral:rRNA from 1 species
GGCUCAGAUUGAACGCUGGCGGCAUGCCUUACACAUGCAAGUCGAACGGCAGGCACGGGGCAACCUGGUGGCGAGUGGCGAACGGGUGAGUAAUGCAUCGGAACGUGCCAUUGAGUGGGGGAUAACGUAGCGAAAGUUGCGCUAAUACCGCAUAUUCUGUGAGCAGGAAAGCUGGGGACCGCAAGGCCUUGCGCUCUUUGAGCGGCCGAUGUCAGAUUAGCUAGUUGGUGAGGUAACGGCUUACCAAGGCGACGAUCUGUAGCGGGUCUGAGAGGAUGAUCCGCCGCACUGGAACUGAGACACGGUCCAGACUCCUACGGGAGGCAGCAGUGGGGAAUUUUGGACAAUGGGCGCAAGCCUGAUCCAGCCAUGCCGCGUGAGUGAAGAAGGCCUUCGGGUUGUAAAGCUCUUUCGGCCGGGAAGAAAUCGCAUGGGUUAAUACCCUGUGUGGAUGACGGUACCGGAAUAAGAAGCACCGGCUAACUACGUG